CUUGUUCAACAUUUCAGUGCUUCAUUUGUGCUUUUUCACUCAGACCGAGAGCGCUACGAUCACACAGUCCUUCCGUUUGACAGGUCGAUAUCUCUGUUUUAUCUGAGGCCUGUGAUUUCACACCUCGCUCCUGUUAACAGUUUGUGCAUUGCUUUUGGAGUGGCGUCGGGGACCAGCUCGCCUUUCUUCAGAUGCAUUUGUCACAGCAGUGAGAUGCUGUGAUUUUAAUUGUAUUGGGGAAUCUUGAUUGGGAAAAGCAGAGGGGGAAGUGAAAGCUCAAAGCAAAUUCAUUACCGCAGAGGCCGUGCAUACCGAGCUUUUCUGCAUGCAGUGAAAAUGUCAGCCUCACCUCGGUCAUUUGUAAAGUAAUAAGCAGAAGCACAAUGACGGCGAGGCGCAGCAGCGCAACGGGGGGAAGGGCAAAUCUGCCUGUCUCCUUAAAAAGGAUUUUUAAAAGAGUCUUGAUUAGAAAGUAUAAUGAGACUGAGAGCAACGCUGCACACUAUCUCUCCAGAGGCUGAUGGAAAACAAAUCAAUGUAGCUAUUUUGUUUUAAUUCCUAUUUUUCCACAUUAGACUGCGGUGCGUCCUGAGGAGUUGUCAUCACUGUCCACCAGAGCCCAUGCAGUCAGAGUUAUUGAUUUUCUGUAGACACAUCAAGGGAAUGCAGAGAGUAAUCUCUUUUUUCCCCCUGAAAAAAAACACACAAAAAACAAGAGCCAUAGCAUAAAAAAAUGGAAGAAGACAAAAGGAAGGGUUGAGGGAAAACAUUAUAUUGUAUCAUUCUUGUUUCAGGUUUAAUUUGAUCAAACAGGCAUUAACCAACAAAUGCCACAAAUAUCACAAAAUUUAUAAAAAAUGUUUUUAUAAUAUGUUUCCUUUACUGGAGGAUGAUGAUAUUGGUUAACAAAUGAGGUUACUUAAAAAAAAAUAGUUCACCCAAAAAUGAAAAAUGGCUAGAAAAAAAAAUCACCCUCAGAUCAUCUAAGAUAUGGAUGAGUUUGU